rnacentral:rRNA from 1 species
CACGUAGGGCGCAAGCGUUGUCCGGAAUUAUUGGGCGUAAAGAGCUCGUAGGCGGACUGUCACGUCCGCUGUGAAAAGCUAGGGCUUAACCCUGGCCUUGCAGUGGAUACGGGCAGACUAGAGGUAGGUAGGGGAGAAUGGAAUUCCCGGUGUAGCGGUGAAAUGCGUAGAUAUCUGGAGGAACACCGGUGGCGAAGGCGGCAUCCUGGACCGACACUGACGCUGAGGAGCGAAAGCCAGGGGAGCAAACGGG